rnacentral:rRNA from 1 species
UACGGGGGGGGCAAGCGUUGUUCGGAAUUACUGGGCGUAAAGGGCUCGUAGGCGGCCAACUAAGUCAUACGUGAAAUCCCUCGGCUCAACCGGGGAACUGCGUCUGAUACUGGAUGGCUUGAAUCCGGGAGAGGGAUGCAGAAUUCCAGGUGUAGCGGUGAAAUGCGUAGAUAUCUGGAGGAAUACCGGUGGCGAAGGCGGCAUCCUGGACCGGCAUUGACGCUGAGGAGCGAAAGCCAGGGGAGCAAAGCGGG